GUCAAAGCCAGCUGAUAGGAAGCCAACAAGUGGACGUGAAAUGGCCAGAAUAUCUUCAUAAUCCAUUGAUAAUGGCUGCAGCUUCACAAAAUCAAAGUCCACAAUCUUUAUACAAUGAGAUAAAAUCAGAAACGCAUCUCCUAUCCCAAAAUUCAAGGUCUGUGUGGCCUCAAAACCAGCAGCAACUAGAACCUUUCCAAAAUUCUGAUAUAUGCCCUAAAGAUAUCCAAAGACUUACAGCAGCCUAUGGACAUAUUUAGCUUUGAUUGGCAUGCGAGUGAAGCCACCGGUGUUAGAGGAGGAAACUGAAGAGGCUCCAACGUACGGAUGCUUGCUAGAGCUCGCUCUUUAUUUUACAGGUGUGUGCCCCAGAUUUUUCUCUUGUAAAUAGGUCUGAU
rnacentral:misc_RNA from 1 species